GGGCGCUUGGCACAGUGGUAGCGCGCAUGCUUUGCAAGAACCGAUGACUUGUUUGCAUGAGGUCGGGAGUUCAAUCCUCCCAGCGUCCA